rnacentral:rRNA from 1 species
UACGUAGGGGGCAAGCGUUGUCCGGAUUUACUGGGCGUAAAGAGCGUGUAGGCGGCCACGCAGGUCCGUUGUGAAAACUGGAGGCUCAACCUCCAGCUGUCGACGGAAACCGUGUGGCUAGAGUCCGGAAGAGGAGAGUGGAAUUCCUGGUGUAGCGGUGAAAUGCGCAGAUAUCAGGAAGAACACCAAUGGCGAAGGCAGCUCUCUGGGACGGUAUUGACGCUGAGACGCGAAAGCUAGGGGAGCGAACAGG